UACAGAGGGUGCGAGCGUUAAUCGGAUUUACUGGGCGUAAAGGGCGCGUAGGCGGUUAUGAAAGUAUGAUGUGAAAGCCCCGGGCUUAACCUGGGAAGUGCAUCGUAAACUAUGUGACUGGAGUAUAUGAGAGGGUGGUGGAAUUUCCGGUGUAGCGGUGAAAUGCGUAGAGAUCGGAAGGAACGUCAAUGGCGAAGGCAGCCACCUGGCAUAAUACUGACGCUGAGGCGCGAAAGCGUGGGGAGCGAACAGGAUUAGAUACCCUGGUAGUCCACGCUGUAAACGAUGAGGACUAAAGGUUGGUAGGGGAACCUAUCAGUCUUGAAGCAAACGCGAUAAGUCUUCCGCCUGGGAAGUACGGCCGCAAGGUUGAA
rnacentral:rRNA from 1 species